rnacentral:rRNA from 1 species
UACGUAGGGGGCAAGCGUUGUCCGGAUUUAUUGGGCGUAAAGAGCGUGUAGGCGGCCUGAAAGGUCAGCUGUGAAAACUCGAGGCUCAACCUCGAGACGUCGGUUGAAACCAUCUGGCUAGAGUCCGGAAGAGGAGUGUGGAAUUCCCAGUGUAGAGGUGAAAUUCGUAGAUAUUGGGAAGAACACCGGUGGCGAAGGCGGCGACCUGGUCCUUGACUGACGCUGAGGCGCGAAAGCGUGGGGAGCAAACAGG